UCCAUGGGAGACAAUGGUACGUUUCUGUGCGGUCACUAGCACCCUCAUGACUUGCUUACUCUUAACACUUACUUUUUUAAAAGGUUGCAGAAGUAUGGCAACCGGUUCAUGUAUUAAACAGGCCAGGGGAGCUGUCACCACCGAAGGAAGGAGGGUGGUACUGACAGGACUGAUGGUAAUGAUGACAUCUAACGUACAUGGAGCAGCUCUGUCUGCCAGACACUAAGAGGAGAAUAAAGAGAUGGAGGCAGGAUAUGUCAAUGCCUGAUGGACCACCUUACAUCUGGGGAAGAGGGAUGCCUCUAGUGGGAUGAGAAGGGGAAGAGCAAAAUCCCAAGUCCAAAGGGCAUUCUGGAGGAAAUGAUUCUACUGGAGAGGCUCCAUGUGGCUCAUCCCUUACAAAGAGAAAUGUGCUGCUGCAGAUGGCGAGCUUGCUCAGCGGGGAAAGGUGCUAGCCAUCAAGCCCCAUGACCUCAGUUUGAUUCCCUGGGACCCACACAGUGGGAGAACUGACUCCUGCAAGAUGCUCUCUGAUUUCCUCCACAUAGACAAAAAGUGAGAAAAUUCUUGCCAACUCUCUUAGUUCAGCCCACAAUCCUCCCAUCCUGCUAAUUAUUCCUAAAUUGAAAAUUAUCAGGAAAGAAGGUAUGCCUUGACAAGAUUUCAAGAUCUCCACUCAUGGUCCACUCAAAUGAAGCGGGACC
ensembl:processed_transcript BC006965 uncharacterized LOC110305879